AACGAACGCUGGCGGCAGGCUUAACACAUGCAAGUCGAACGGGCGUAGCAAUACGUCAGUGGCGACGGGUGAGUAACACGUGGGAAUAUGCCUUUCGGUUCGGAACAACUCGGGGAAACCCGUGCUAAUUCCGGAUACGCCCUUACGGGAAGAUUUAUCGCCGAAAGAUUAGCCCGCGUUGGAUUAGCUAGUUGGUGAGGUAACGGCCCACCAAGGCGACGAUCCCAUAGCUGGUUCGAGAGAACGACCAGCC
rnacentral:rRNA from 1 species